rnacentral:rRNA from 1 species
UUCGCCCUUGUUGAUCCUGCCGGACCCUACUGCUAUCGGGGUGGGACUAAGACAUGCUAGUCGUGCGUCUCUAAGCCAUGGUAGAGACGCGGCGUACGGCUCAGUAACACGUGGUUAACCUACCCUUAGGACGGGGACAACCCCGGGAAACUGGGGCUAAUUUCUGAUAGGUGAGGAGGCCUGGAAUGGUUCCUCGCCGAAAAGGCGUUGAAACCAUGCUUUUCAACGUCGCCUAAGGAUGGGGCCGCGCCCGAUCAGGUUGUUGGUGAGGUAACGGCUCACCAAGCCUAUAACCGGUACGGGCCGUGAGAGCGGGAGCCCGGAGAUGGGCACUGAGACAAGGGCCCAGGCCCUACGGGGCGCAGCAGUCGCGAAAACUCCGCAAUGCGCGAAAGCGUGACGGGGCUACCCCGAG